UGCAGGCUGAGCCUGUUUGAGCUAAGCCUCCCACAGCCCUCAAGGGUCGGGAUUCACUGAACACCCACAGAUGGAGAGCUGGCAGCGAGCACCUCUGCGCGCCGGUUGGAGCGUCCAGAUACCGUGGACACAGCUCCCUCGGGGUGCCUUGCGCAGAAGAGCCAAGCGAGUCGUCAUCUCUGAGGUUCAGACAUGCAUGACGGUCCCACCAGCCAAAGGAAACACUGACGUCACCCCCAGGGACAAAAGGAUUCCUUCUCAGUGUUUUUCGUGGGACCCAGGCUUCAGGAAGGUAAGGUGCAGGGCACCUGGACCAGGCUGGAGAGUUGGGCGUUUAACCCCUGCUUUCCCGGCAUCGGCCUGGCUAAGCCCUUGCAAGUAUGGGGACCUAUUGGCCUGCUGACACUCAGCUAGAGGGGAUGAGGUGUCUUCUUGUGCCUUCCGCCCAGCCUCCCGGUGAUGUCGCCGACGCAGAUCUCAUAAUGACCUCAGGCAUCCUGCCAGACCCACCCUGCCUGCAGGCCCUCCUUCUGGUGUUCCCGCAGCUGGGCUGCGGAUGAGGGGGCCAGGCAGCCUGGAAGGAAGGUGACAAGCUCCCCACCACCCCCAGCGACAGCACGGCUCCUCAGACCACCGUCUGCCGUAGCCACCGCAUCUGUUGGGAGCUGAGCAGCAGCUUGCGUCAGUCCCUCGCGGUGAUGCGUUCCUGGACCCCAGCCAAGUUUGGCCAGUGCCGGUGGUGACAGGGCCACGUCUCCCUGUCCCAGACACCACACUUCCAAGAAUGAAGUUCAGGGUCAAACCAGACUCGUGCUCAGGCGAUGCGCCACUCCUUCGGCCGAUACUGUCGAACGCGUGUGCAUGCGUACUGGGCUUUAGGGGACACAAAGGUGAAGAUCAGAGCACAAAUGGUGGCGUGAGGGAUGGACAGAGACAUGCUCUGGAAACGUGGAGGAGGAGCCCCGCACACGGAGCGGCAGCCAGGUGGAUGCAACAGGUGGGGAGGAGGCGGGUGGGCCUGGGUUUGCUGUUCCCAGGCUGAAGGGACAGCGUGGGAGAAGGCGCAGGGGUGCAAAGGGGCACAGUGUCCUUCUGCCUCGUCUUUGUGAAACCACUUCCCUCCCAACCCUAUAAACUCAGUUCUGACAUCUAAUCCUCGAGGAAGGCUGACUCCCGUUCCCUACUCUCCCGGUCAGAUCGGCUGCCUUCUCUUCAGCCUCCAGAACCCUUGCAGAAUCGCCGUGGCCUCU